rnacentral:misc_RNA from 1 species
AGUUGAGUUGAGUUUAUAUAAAAGACAUCUCAUGGUGAAACUUUCAAAUGACAUUCUGAAUGUAUACUGUAAUUUGACUUUAACAUGGCGUUACUAAGUUGUUUUCUAAAUGAUGCCGAAUGUUGUUCUUCUAAUCUUUAAUUCUUGGUUUGCUGGACCAUUAAAACUGUUGUUGUCUAUUUUGUUCAGAUACUAUCAGUCUCUUCCACCUA